rnacentral:rRNA from 1 species
UGGGGAAUAUUGCACAAUGGGGGAAACCCUGAUGCAGCGACGCCGCGUGGAGGAUGAAGGUCUUCGGAUUGUAAACUCCUGUUAAGAGGGAAGAAAAGCGUACGGUUAAUACCCGUACGUGCUGACGGUACCUCUAGAGAAAGCCCCGGCUAACUUCGUGCCAGCAGCCGCGGUAAUACGAAGGGGGCGAGCGUUAUUCGGAAUAACUGGGCGUAAAGAGCGUGCAGGUGGCAUAGUAAGUCAGUUGUUAAAGACCAUGGCCCAACCAUGGAAGAGCAAUUGAAACUGCUAAGCUAGAGGGCAGAAGAGAGAAGUGGAAUUCUCGGAGUAGCGGUAAAAUGCGUAGAUCUCGAGAGGAACACCAAUAGCGAAGGCAGCUUCUUGGUCUGCACCUGACACUUAAGCGCGAAAGCGUGGGGAGCAAACAGGAUUAGAUACCCCCGUAGUCC